GGUUCCGUGAUGUAGCGGUUAUCACGUCUGCUUUACACGCAGAAGAUCGCUAGUUCGAUUUCGACCGGAACCA
rfam:Harpegnathos saltator strain R22 G/1 HarSal_1.0_3.contig8030, whole genome shotgun sequence.